ACUUGUAUAGCUUAUACAUUAGAGUAUAGUUUUGAAGAAACUAGGGAAAUUUAAAAAUUUACAAGUA
rnacentral:tRNA from 1 species